rnacentral:rRNA from 1 species
UUAAGGGUGCAGGGCGGAUGCCUUGGCACUAGGAGCCGAUGAAGGACGUGAUAAGCUGCGAUAAGCUUCGGGGAGUUGCACGUAAACUUUGAUCCGAAGAUUUCCGAAUGAGGAAACUCACUUAGAGUAAUGUCUAAGUAUCAUUAAGUGAAUACAUAGCUUAAUGAGGGGAACUCAGGGAACUGAAACAUCUAAGUACCUGAAGGAAGAGAAAGAAAUUCGAUUCCGUAAGUAGCGGCGAGCGAACGCGGAUUAGCCCAAACCAAUAAAGUUUUCUUUAUUGGGGUUGCGGACAUAUCAUAACGAAGAGGUAUCGUAAUUGAAGAGGUUUGGAAAGACCCACCACAGAAGGUAAUAGUCCUGUAUGUUAAACGAGAAGACUUUAGAUAUGAUCCAGAGUACCACGGGACACGUGAAACCCUGUGGGAAGCAGGAGGGACCACCCUCCAAGGCUAAAUACUACCUAGUGACCGAUAGCGUAUAGUACCGUGAGGGAAAGGUGAAAAGAACCCCGGGAGGGGAGUGAAAUAGAACCUGAAACCCUGCACUUACAAGCUGUGGAAGCACAUUUCUUGUGUGACCGCGUACUUUUUGUAGAACGGGCCAACGAGUUACGUUAAGUAGCAAGGUUAAGCACUUAAGGUGCGGAGCCGUAGCGAAAGCGAGUUUUAACUGAGCGUUCAGUUACUUGACGUAGACCCGAAACCGGGCGACCUACCCAUGAGCAGGAUGAAGCGAAAGUAAAAUUUCGUGGAGGUCCGAACCCACGAGCGUUGAAAAGCUCGGGGAUGACUUGUGGGUAGCGGUGAAAUUCCAAUCGAGCCCGGAGAUAGCUGGUUCUCCCCGAAAUAGCUUUAGGGCUAGCCUCAAGGUGAGAGAUACGGAGGUAGAGCACUGAAUGUCCUAGGGGGUAUUGCACCUACCGAAGACUAUCAAACUCCGAAUGCCGUCAUCUUAUACUUGGGAGUCAGACUGUGGGUGAUAAGAUUCAUAGUCGAAAGGGCAACAGCCCAGAUCGUCAGCUAAGGUCCCUAAAUGUAAGUUAAGUGGUAAAGGAUGUGGGAUUGCACAGACAACCAGGAUGUUGGCUUAGAAGCAGCCACUCAUUCAAAGAGUGCGUAAUAGCUCACUGGUCGAGUGAUCCUGCGCCGAAGAUUUCCGGGGCUAAAACUUACUACCGAAGCUACGGCAUCAGUAAUGAUGGGUAGGGGAGCUUCCCAUACGGGUUGAAGCAUGACCGUAAGGACAUGUGGACAGUAUGGGAGUGAGAAUGUUGGCAUGAGUAGCGAGAUGUGGGUGAGAAUCCCACAGGCCGUAAACCCAAGGUUUCCAGGGGAAGGUUCGUCCGCCCUGGGUUAGUCGGGACCUAAGCUGAGGCCGAAAGGCGUAGGUGAUGGACAACAGGUUGAUAUUCCUGUACUACCGAUAACCGUUUGAGAGAAGGGAUGACACAGUAGGAUAAGCUAAGCACACUGUUGGUUAUGUGUGCCCAAGCAUUGAGGCAGUCAAAGUAGGCAAAUCCGCUUUGAUAAUGCUGGGAUGUGAUGGGGAGCGAAAUUUAGUAGCGAAGUAGCUGAUUUCACACUGUCAAGAAAAGUCUCUAUCGAGGUUAAAGGUACCCGUACCGCAAACCGACACAGGUGGGUGAGGAGAGUAUCCUAAGGCCAGCGAGAGAACUGUUGUUAAGGAACUCGGCAAAAUGACCCCGUAACUUAGGGAUAAGGGGUGCCACCAUCAGGUGGCCGCAGAGAAUAGGCCCAAGCGACUGUUUACCAAAAACAUAGGUUUCUGCUAAGUCGCAAGACGAUGUAUAGGAGCUGACGCCUGCCCGGUGCUGGAAGGUUAAGGGGAUCUGUUAGAGCAAUCGAAGCAGUGAACUUAAGCCCCAGUAAACGGCGGCCGUAACUAUAACGGUCCUAAGGUAGCGAAAUUCCU